rnacentral:lncRNA from 1 species
GGCAGCCAGGCCUUGGAUGAUCCUCGAGGUGACUCAAGCCUUCUAGACCUUCUGAAGUUUCAGUGGCACAAGCCUACUCUGGAGACAUCAGUAUAGAGUUGGCAGGAAGAAUUAAAUAAAUUAUGUAAUCUAGCACGAAGUGAAUAUACCAAGCUGGUAUAGGUAACAGAGAAAGCCAACUGAGUGUUUCUUGUUCAGCCUUCAAGAACUGACAGUUAAGUUCAGAAUUUGAAGCCAAGUGGUGGUGGCGCACACCUUUAAUCCCAGCACUUGGGAAGCAGAGGCAGGUGGAUCUCUGUGAGUUCAUGGACAGCCUUAUCUACGGAGCAAAUUCCAGGACAGCGAAGGCUACACAGAGAAACCAUGUCUAGAAAAACCAGUAAAUAAAUUCUCUCACUGAACCUGUGACUCAGCUAUUCAGCUAGACUGGCUAGCCAACAAGACCAGGGAUCCUCCUGUCUCUACCUCCCGGUGCUGAAAUAACAGGAUCCUGUGAUCUUUUCUCUACGUGGUGACAUCAUCUCCCUGGAACAACAGCCUAGAAGCAGUAGUGGUGGAAAGGGAAAAGGAAGAGAAGAAAAAUUCCUUAAAACAUGAACCUGAAGAGACAAGGGCAAUCAUUAUUAUGAGAAGAUAGAAACCAGUAGGCUGCCGGGCGUUGGUGGCGCACACCUUUAGUCCCAGCACUCAGAAGGUAGAGGCAGGAGGAUCUCUGUGAAUUUGAG